GUCUACGGCCAUACCCCCCUGAAUGCACCCGAUCUCGUCUGAUCUCGGAAGGAUUGGAGCUAACAGAUGACUUGGAUUUUGUGAACUAAACUUGUAGAUU
rnacentral:rRNA from 1 species